GGUGCAUGUCCAGCUUACUUAACAUACUUGUGACUUUCCAGAAGCUAAUGACUACUCUUUAGCUAAGUUAGCAUUGAUGCUAAUUUUUAGCAUCAGAACCCUGGGUCCAAACGGCACACUUUGGCAGGCCCCAGUUAAAUUUCUUCAGGAAUUUUCUAGUUUACUUUAUGUUCAUGAAAACCAUAACACUAGCACAUUGCAUACAAUGUCUCAUGGGAAAGAAUCGAUUCCUACGUUUGUCAUGCAUCAAUACCAAACAGUCAAAUAUUCGUAAAACAUUUUUAUAUUCACAGAUGUAAAUGUAAAGCAGUGCAUAAAUGUUACAGAAGAGGGUACUAUUGUUUUCUGUAAUUGCUGGUAUUACCGCAAUUCCGAGAUGUUUGUCCUGCCGGGGACACCGUAGUGCAGGGGAUUUUUGCGCGCGAGCUGCUGAAUUCCUUACAGUGUGUUUACUGCCUGUAAUGUAAGUAGCAGCUCCGCUAGCCCGGUGUAAAAUAUACAUUGCGAUGGUUUGCCGAUCUUUUUUUCUGUUUGUUCAGUGUGCCAGUUGGCUGCAGAUUGCAUCUUGUUUUGAUGAGGUUUGAUUGUUUUGUAAAGGGAAAAUUGUUAAAUCCUGACAGUCUGUUUACUGCCUGUAAAGUGGAUGAAAUAAAGGCACGAAAGUCUCCCCUCCACGAAGAGCCCUGUGUUCGAUUCCUCUCCUGCACCGAACACACCCCACUUUCACGAAAAGAAACACAACGCAGAGCCCAUAGGGUGUCUUCCACCAGCUGCAGGUCUGAAGAGGGAGAGCCUGGGUUACAUAAAUGAAAUGCUCCUUAAAUUUCCAGCGCUGGAAGGCUGUCAUUUUUGAUGCGCUGCUUGAGCUGAAAUGGAACCGUCCGCUCGCUUGCUGUUCGUCCAGGAGGCUCCACCAGCACAGGAUGGAACAUCAGAGUGGCAUUGCGGCUAUGAUAGAGACAAGGAGCCGUUGCGGGAAACGGCGAUAAAGAGCGCAAAGCAAUAAAAAUAUCAUUACAUAUUUCGCAAAGGUUUUUGUUUAUAUAUUUUUUUAAAUGUAACUAAAUUUGUAAUUCUUAAUAUUUUCGGAAGUAACUGUAACUGGAUUACAUAUUUUCUCAUUGUAACUGUAACGAAUUACAGUUACUCUUUUUUUGUAAUUAAAUUACGUAACGUCGUUACAUGUAAUCCGUUACUACCCAACACUGCACCUACGGCGCCACAUCACGCCCAACAUGAUGAAACCUCAACAGAAACUGCAGCUGUGUUUCUGUCUGCUCAGUUUCUGGUUCAUGUUUGUUCUUCAGUCAGAAAAUCCAGAAUUUGGCUCCAGUAAAAGUAGAAAUUGUUCCUAACAUGAAGCUCAGUUCUUCUCUGUGGUUUAGUUUGAAACAGAAACAGGCCCACAGCAUCACAGGUCCUCCACCGAACCCAGCAGCAGUUCAGCUGUUCAGAGUUUCAGCAGCUUCAGUCUCAGCCGACCAGCCUGUCCACAUUCAGGAACCUGAGAAUAAAACUGGAGGAAGAUGAAAUGAUCCAGCUGUCAGUCAUCAUCAGAUGUUUGUUCUGAUUGAAAUCUUGUUGACGUUCCUGCUGAAUACCCAGCAUGCCUUCUCAGGUGAGGCCUUCUCAGGUGUGGCCUUCUCAGGUGAGGCCUUCUCAGGUGUGGCCUCACCUGGACCAGAACAGGUCCGACCAGGAACACCUGAUGAACAGGAAGUUCUGACUGUUGACUGGAUCAUGGAAGAGAAAGAAAAUCAUCCGAGUCCAGGAGGAGGAACUGGACCGGGAUUUCAGACGGAGUGAGAAUAUAAAGGAUGAAGUUCAGCGGAGAAACAGAAAGAGUUCGAUUCACAGCGACCUCAGAGCAGCUCUUCAUCUUCAUCAUCAAGUCCUUCAUCCUGCAGCGUCUCUUCUGACUUCAAAGAUCUGAAGCUGCUUUUAGAGGACGACGUCUACACUCAUCACCAUGGCAACUGCAUCAGCAGAAGGAGAUAAAUUAACUUUAGGUUAUUUGUUUGUAAAUGGUCUUAGAUCAAAGGUUGGUGAUAUUAGGGCCUUAAUUGAAACCCAUAACAUAGACGUCCUGGCUCUAUGUAGAACUAAUCUGGACAAAGACAUUGAUGAUGCCGAAAUUGAAAUUGAUGGUUUUCAGGUGAAUAGGAAAGAUAGAAACCCUAAAGAUCCUGAUCAUGGAGGUUCUGGAGGGGGUGGAGGGGGUGUUGCUAUCUAUGUCAAAAAAGACAUUGAAUUUCAAAGAGAGAAUGCCUAUGAGCACAGGGAUGUAGAGUCUCGUUGGGUCACUCUCAGGCCCAACGGUUGGAGAGAACUCCUGGUGGGUUGUUGUUACAGACCUACACGAACAGGAAAAGAGUAUUUGGAUGAAAUUAAUGAACAAAUUACAGAGGUGACACAAGAAAUGGCUGAUAAAUACAUUUUCUUGAUGGGAACCUUCAACAUUGACUGGAACAAGAAUACUCCAGAGAAAAGACGACUUAAUAAAGCAGCAAAAAUCAGUGAAUUAAGACAGAUUGUAGAUGAACCGUACAGAGUCGACACAGAAAAAGUGAUUGACCACAUUUACACAAACAUUCAAGAAAAUAUUCCAGUGCAGCCGAUUGAUGAAACACCCAGUGAUCAUAAGAUCUUUCUUGUCACAGUCAACAGAAACUCCAUCACAGGAACCACUGGUGGGGCCACUGGUGGGGUCACUGGUGGGGUCACUGGUGGGGUCACUGAUGGGGUCACUGGUGAAGAUGAACUUUCAUCUAAAAUGGAAAAAUUAGGUAUCAAAAAGCCUUGAUCAUUAUCUUUCUAACCAGGUGAACGUCUCCUCUGGAGUCCAUUUCUGUUAUAAAAACUAAAUUGUGUUGAUUGUUUCUGUUAAAUAUUUUAUUUUUCUUAAAUAUCACAUUUAGAAAGAUGAAAGUGAAGUUGGGUUUUUAUGUUAAUGUUAUAAAGAGUCGGGUUUCUGUGGCCUCCUGUGAAUCUGUUCACUCUGAACAGUUUAUAUCAGAAAACAAACUAAAGUUUUUCCUCUUCAUCGUUUAUUAAUCUGCUGCAGCAGGCGGCCAUGUUUCUCCACCGCAGCCUGAACCACUGGCAGAUCUUCAUCAGGUCUUUAUUCCUGCAGACCUGCAGGCCUACAUUACCCAGAAUCCCUCUGGAAGCUUCCUGCUUUGUCCUCAAGGCUUCUUCCUCAGAUCUGUAGUUUCUGUCAUUUGAACCAUAAAUAGUUAUGAUUUGAAUUUUGUGGACUGGUUUCAUUUUCUCUUGGUGAAAACUUGGAUCAGAUAUUAAAGGUUGUUUAUUGGAAAGACUGUUAAAGUUUAUUUGAUCUAAAAUUAAUUUUAUCUUAACACUCAAUAAUAUGUUGGGUCAAAUAAAUAAAUAUUAAGGAUUCAUGAUAAAAAGGGACAUUUGAUUCUUCAGAAACGUUAAUUAAUCAUUUAUAAUAUUUAGAUUGUUUCAUUUAACUCCAAUGUAUAUUUUUUCUGUGUUUUAUGAUUGUAUUUAGUUUGGUGAUUAUAUAAUUUCUGUUUCUGGGUGUUUAUGCUCAUAAUGUUGAUGUUAUGAAUAAAGUUGAAAUAAUU